GAUGAACGCUGGCGGCGUGCUUAACAUAUGCAAGUCGAACGGAAAGGCUCCUGCUUGCAGGGGUACUCGAGUGGCGAACGGGUGAGUAACACGUGGGUGAUCUGCCCUGCACUUCGGGAUAAGCCUGGGAAACUGGGUCUAAUACCGGAUAGGACGAUGGUUUGGAUGCCAUUGUGGAAAGUUUUUUCGGUGUGGGAUGAGCUCGCGGCCUAUCAGCUUGUUGGUGGGGUAAUGGCCUACCAAGGCGUCGACGGGUAGCCGGCCUGAGAGGGUGUACGGCCACAUUGGGACUGCGGUACGGCCCAGACUCCUACGGGAGGCAGCAGUGGGGAAUAUUGCACAAUGGGCGCAAGCCUGAUGCAGCGACGCCGCGUGGGGGAUGACGGCCUUCGGGUUGUAAACUCCUUUCGCUAGGGACGAAGCGCAAGUGACGGUACCUGGAGAAGAAGCACCGGCUAACUACGUG
rnacentral:rRNA from 1 species